UUUACGUAGUACGGAUUAAGGGAUAAACAAUAAAUGGAUAUUAAAAUGUCAUUUGGGUUCUUGUAGAUAUAUAAAAAGCAGUUUAUGUAGAAUCAAAUUCGGG